rnacentral:ncRNA from 2 species
AAACGUAUGCACGAGUGCUCACCCGCUUCUUUAAACCACUAUUUAAGGUGAGCUGAGACAACGCCAGUUUGAUUAUGAAGAACGCGGUGCGUUGAAUCGUCAGAACCUGAUCCGGUUAAUACCGGCGCUAGGGAGAAAACACAUGAGUACU